rnacentral:rRNA from 1 species
UUAGAGUUUGAUCCUGGCUCAGGAUGAACGCUAGCGGCAGGCUUAACACAUGCAAGUCGAGGGGCAGCACGAAGCGGCAACGCUCCGCUGGAGACCGGCGCAGGGGCGCAUAACGCGUAUGCCACCUACCCUCCACCGGGAGAUAACUCAGAGAAACCCGAACUAAUACCCCGUAGACCCGUCCCCCCGCAUGAGGGGGCGGGGAAAGAGCUUGGAUUAUAAAUGGCCCUGCUUGCCUUUAGGGAGUGGGCGGGGCAACGGCCCACCAAGCCUACGAUGCCUAGGGGAGCUGAGAGGCUUACCCCCCACACUGGUACUGAGACACGGACCAGACUCCUACGGGAGGCAGCAGUGAGGAAUAUUGGUCAAUGGGCGGAAGCCUGAUCCAGCCAUGCCGCGUGGAGGACGGAGGCCCUAUGGGUCGUAAACUCCUUUUGCAGCAGAGUAAUAAGGGUCAUGCGGGGCCCGAUGAGAGUAUGCGGCGAAUAAGCAUCGGCUAACUCCGUGCCAGCAGCCGCGGUAAUACGGAGGAUGCGAGCGUUAUCCGGAUUUAUUGGGUUUAAAGGGUGCGUAGGCGGGCCGUUAAGUCAGCGGUGAAAUACCCCGGCCCAACCGGGGGGGUGCCGUUGAUACCGUGGGCCUGGAGUUCGAUCGGCGCCGGCGGAAUAUGCAAUGUAGCGGUGAAAUGCUUAGAUAUUGCACAGAACACCGAUCGCGAAGGCAGCUGGCGAGGACGGCACUGACGCUGAGGCACGAAGGUGCGGGGAUCAAACAGGAUUAGAUACCCUGGUAGUCCGCACAGUAAACGAUGAUGACUAGUUGUCGGCGAUAGACGGUCGGCGACAAAGCGAAAGCGAUAAGUCAUCCACCUGGGGAGUACGAUCGCAAGGUUGAAACUCAAAGGAAUUGACGGGGGCCCGCACAAGCGGAGGAGCAUGUGGUUUAAUUCGAUGAUACGCGAGGAACCUUACCCAGACUCAAAUGGGGGCCGGCAGGCCCGGAGACGCGCCCUCCCUCCGGGGCGGCCUUCAAGGUGCUGCAUGGUUGUCGUCAGCUC